rnacentral:rRNA from 1 species
AUGCCGACGACCAUGGCCAAGGCCGCAAGGGCAGGAGCGGCGCCUCUUCGCCACGACGGCAGCCUUCCGGAGGAGAUCGUCGUCUGGGAGAUCCUAGUUCGCCUCGACCCCAAAUCCCUCCUCCGUUGCCGCGUCGUCCGUCUGCGCCAUGCCACCUCCACCCGUGCCUUCCUGCUUGCCCACCAUGCCCACCAGCCAGCCCUCCCCAUUGCGUUAGACGAAGAAUACAUCCUCACCGCCGACCGCCUUGCCGCUGCCAAGCUCCACACUGUCGCCCAUCUUGACAAGGCCUUCAAUCCAGAGGCUUCCUGCGAUGGCCUUCUCGUCCUCUCCAGGUACAACAACAUGACUGACACCAUUGAUUUCUCAGUUUGUAACCUGGCCACUCGUCAAUUUGCUCCCCUUCAACAACUACAUGAACUGGGCUUGCGGUUAUUGGGGAUGUACUCGCAUCAACCUACUGGCGAGUAUCGAUUGUUACUUGAACGCGAUAGCUACAAUGAAACGCCUGAAGACCAACUUGGCUACUAUGUCUUUGCAUUGGGCUCUCACCAGUCGCCAAGGUACAUCGGGUGGCAGGAGUCAACAUCACAAUGCUUCAGUUUACCUGUCUUGGUAUGCGAUAGCCUGCAUUGGUACCCAGUCUAUUAUGUGAGUGAAAGCAGCUACGUACGGCUUCAGAGUGAAAGCAAAGCGAUAAUAGUAUUCGACACCAUAGCUGAGUCGUUCCGGCCAAUGCAUGCUCCAAUUGUUUCCAGCAACUCAUAUGCCUUUGAGAUGGAUGGUACACUCGGCAUAUAUAGCCGUAACUAUGCCAAAACAACUAUUGAUAUAUGGGUAUUGCAAAACUACGAAAGCGAGGUUUGGGACUUCAAGUAUCGAAUCAAAUUGCCAGUUGCAGAAAUACGGGGGAAGUUUGAGGCCUUUGAUGACCAUUGGAAUGUGGAGGUUGUUUCAGCGGACGGUGAUGUGCUCUUGCUAGUCAAUUCUGGUCGGUGUCUGUCUUAUGUCGACAAUGAUGGUAAGCUGAUUGACAGUUUUGAUCAUGGUCGCAAAUACUUCUUUUUGUCUAAAUAUCGGCUCAAGCAAAGUCUUGUCCAGCAUACCUUCUUUCAAGCUUUAGAAAGUUCUGCUGUGAACACUUCACCAUUCAUCUGA